rnacentral:rRNA from 1 species
GACGAACGCUGGCGGCGUGCCUAAUACAUGCAAGUUGAGCGCUGAAGGUUGGUACUUGUACCAACUGGAUGAGCAGCGAACGGGUGAGUAACGCGUGGGGAAUCUGCCUUUGAGCGGGGGACAACAUUUGGAAACGAAUGCUAAUACCGCAUAAAAACUUUAAACACAAGUUUUAAGUUUGAAAGAUGCAAUUGCAUCACUCAAAGAUGAUCCCGCGUUGUAUUAGCUAGUUGGUGAGGUAAAGGCUCACCAAGGCGAUGAUACGUAGCCGACCUGAGAGGGUGAUCGGCCACAUUGGGACUGGGACACGGCCCAAACUCCUACGGGAGGCAGCAGUAGGGAAUCUUCGGCAAUGGACGAAAGUCUGACCGAGCAACGCCGCGUGAGUGAAGAAGGUUUUCGGAUCGUAAAACUCCGUUGGUAGAGAAGAACGUUGGUGAGAGUGGAAAGCUCAUCAAGUGACGGUAACUACCCAGAAAGGGACGGCUAACUACGUG